rnacentral:rRNA from 1 species
AGGGAGCUUGCUCCCUGAUUUAGCGGCGGACGGGUGAGUAAUGCCUAGGAAUCUGCCUGGUAGUGGGGGAUAACGUUCCGAAAGGAACGCUAAUACCGCGUACGUCCUACGGGAGAAAGCAGGGGACCUUCGGGCCUUGCGCUAUCAGAUGAGCCUAGGUCGGAUUAGCUAGUUGGUGAGGUAAUGGCUCACCAAGGCGACGAUCCGUAACUGGUCUGAGAGGAUGAUCAGUCACACUGGAACUGAGACACGGUCCAGACUCCUACGGGAGGCAGCAGUGGGGAAUAUUGGACAAUGGGCGAAAGCCUGAUCCAGCCAUGCCGCGUGUGUGAAGAAGGUCUUCGGAUUGUAAAGCACUUUAAGUUGGGAGGAAGGGCUGCUGGUUAAUACCCUGCAGUUUUGACGUUACCAACAGAAUAAGCACCGGCUAACUUCGUGCCAGCAGCCGCGGUAAUACGAAGGGUGCAAGCGUUAAUCGGAAUUACUGGGCGUAAAGCGCGCGUAGGUGGUUCGUUAAGUUGGAUGUGAAAGCCCCGGGCUCAACCUGGGAACUGCAUCCAAAACUGGCGAGCUAGAGUACGGUAGAGGGUGGUGGAAUUUCCUGUGUAGCGGUGAAAUGCGUAGAUAUAGGAAGGAACACCAGUGGCGAAGGCGACCACCUGGACUGAUACUGACACUGAGGUGCGAAAGCGUGGGGAGCAAACAGGAUUAGAUACCCUGGUAGUCCACGCCGUAAACGAUGUCAACUAGCCGUUGGAAUCCUUGAGAUUUUAGUGGCGCAGCUAACGCAUUAAGUUGACCGCCUGGGGAGUACGGCCGCAAGGUUAAAACUCAAUGAAUUGACGGGGGCCCGCACAA